rnacentral:rRNA from 2 species
AGCAUAUCAAUAAGCGGAGGAAAAGAAACUAACAAGGAUUCCCCUAGUAACUGCGAGUGAAGCGGGAAAAGCUCAAAUUUAAAAUCUGGCAGUCUUUGGCUGUCCGAGUUGUAGUCUGGAGAAGUGCUUUCCGCGCUGGACCGUGUACAAGUCUCUUGGAACAGAGCGUCGUAGAGGGUGAGAAUCCCGUCUUUGACACGGACUACCAGUGCUUUGUGAUGUGCUCUCAAAGAGUCGAGUUGUUUGGGAAUGCAGCUCAAAAUGGGUGGUAAAUUCCAUCUAAAGCUAAAUAUUGGCGAGAGACCGAUAGCGAACAAGUACCGUGAGGGAAAGAUGAAAAGCACUUUGGAAAGAGAGUUAAACAGUACGUGAAAUUGCUGAAAGGGAAACGYUUGAAGUCAGUCGCGUUGGCCAGGACUCAGCCUGGCAUUUUUAAUGCUUGGUGUAUUUUCUGGUUGACGGGCCAGCAUCGAUUUUUAUCACUGGACAAAGGCUGGGGGAAUGUGGCACCUUCGGGUGUGUUAUAGCCCUUGGUUGCAUACAGUGGUGGAGAUCGAGGACCGCAGCACGCCUUUAUGGCCGGGGUUCGCCCACGAUCGUGCUUAGGAUGCUGGCGUAAUGGCUUUAAACGACCCGUCUUGAAACACGGACCAAGGAGUCUAACAUGCCUGCGAGUGUUUGGGUGGUAAAACCCGAGCGCGCAAUGAAAGUAAAAGUUGAGAUCCCUGUCGUGGGGAGCAUCGACGCCCGGACCUGAACCUCGGUGAUGGAUCUGCGGUAGAGCAUGUAUGUUGGGACCCGAAAGAUGGUGAACUAUGCCUGAAUAGGGUGAAGCCAGAGGAAACUCUGGUGGAGGCUCGUAGCGAUUCUGACGUGCAAAUCGAUCGUCAAAUUUGGGUAUAGGGGCGAAAGACUAAUCGAACCAUCUAGUAGCUGGUUCCUG